rnacentral:lncRNA from 1 species
UAGAGAUAUCAAAUGAGUCCGCUUCAGGUAUUUGAAAUUGCUGAGUCUAACUCAUUUUGUGUUAUUUGAUUUUUGUUAUUAGUAAAGUCGAUAGAAUGUGGAAUAGUUCGUUAUAUAACAGGUUUUGGAUAUAUAUCAUGCUAUUAUGAUAGAAAAUUGGCUGGAGACAGUGUUCUUUGGACAUUGUCCUCAAAUCUUAUUUUAGUUGUUGGUUGAAUGCUAAUUAUACUAGUUCUAUAACUUCUCGUUAUGUUACUUCAAAAAUGCGAGAUUUAAAUCUAAAGUACUAACUUCUAUCUUUUUCUUUCAUUGCAGAUGCAGCCUUGGGAGAUUCAAGGAGCACUGGGCAGAGAUUUGGUGGUCAAAGAACUGGAAAACAGUUUACAUUAAGUACAACAUUCAUGCAGCCGGUUUGAGGAAGCGCUAUCCAAAGGCGUUGCCCUGAAAUCUGGAUCUUAGCUGCAUUAUGAAAAAGGCUUCAAAUCUUGAAAUUAGGUUAUUUCUUUAGUAAAGUUUUUUUGUCAUUAUGUUGAUUUUUCAAUUUUAUUACUCUUAAUUAAGGUUUGAUAAAAAGGGCCAUGACUGCCUUUUGGAUUCCUUUCAAUGGAAAUAUUUGUCCAAAUCCUUGCAUUUUUCUUAGAAGUGAAUGCUACACACUGAUGAACUAAUACAUAUGUGUAUACUACAUUGCUGUCUUUCUAUUUGAGAUACUUGCUAUGAGUUUCCUCUAGGUGUUUAUGGUGAGCUUGGAGCUCGACUGGUUGGUUUGCAACAGGAAAGUCAUGAGAUUUUUAUUUUUGCAUGCCUCAAAAUUCUCAUAAUGCACAAUUCUUGAAUUUCCUUAAACAAUACUUAAUACUCGUGCAUUAAAUUAAUUGUCUACUUAUUUGGUUUUUAACUCUCCUCUAUAAUUUGGUCAUGGGAAUUGUUAUUGUUUCCAAACAAUGUCCAACUUCGUGAGCGAAGUUGGUUUUUUUAGGUUACAGUGAGC